rnacentral:lncRNA from 1 species
AAGAAAGAAGCUCCAGAAGCCUCCUAAAGCCAAAGUGAAAGCAAAGGCUUUGAAGCUCAAGAAGGCAGUGCUGAAAAGAGUCCACAGCCACAAAAAAAUAAAGAGGAUCUGCACAUCACCCACCUUCCAGUGGCCCAAGAUACUGCAGCUCCAGAGGCAGCUCAAAUAUCCUUGGAAGAUUACCCCCAAGAGAAAGAAACUUGACCACUAUGUCAUUAUCAAGUUGUUGCUGACCACUGAAUCAGCCAUAAAGAAAAUAAAAUAUAACACGCUUUUGGAUGUUAAGGCCAAAAAGCAACAGAUUAAAGAGGCUGUGAAGAAGCUCUAUGACACUGAUGUGGCCAAGGUCAACACCCUGUUCGGGCCUAAUGGACAGAAGGAGGCAUAUGUUUGACUGGCUCUUGAUUGUAAUGUUUUGGAUACUGCCAAAACAAUUGGAAUCAUU